rnacentral:rRNA from 1 species
GCCCUCUUCGGAGAGUGCAUAGAGUGGCGCACGGGUGAGUAACACGUAAGUAAUCUACCUUCGAGUGGGGAAUAACGUCCGGAAACGGACGCUAAUACCGCAUAAUGCAGCGGCAUCGCAAGAUGACAGUUGUUAAAGGAGCAAUUCGCUUGAAGAGGAGCUUGCGGCAGAUUAGCUAGUUGGUAAGGUAAUGGCUUACCAAGGCUACGAUCUGUAACCGGUCUAAGAGGACGGUCGGUCACACUGACACUGAAUAACGGGUCAGACUCCUACGGGAGGCAGCAGUCGGGAAUUUUGGGCAAUGGGCGAAAGCCUGACCCAGCAACGCCGCGUGAAGGAUGAAGUAUUUCGGUAUGUAAACUUCGAAAGAAUGGGAAGAAUCAAUGACGGUACCAUUUAUAAGGUCCGGCUAACUACGUGCCAGCAGCCGCGGUAAUACGUAGGGACCAAGCGUUGUUCGGAUUUACUGGGCGUAAAGGGCGCGUAGGCGGCUUAACAAGUCACUUGUGAAAUCUCCGGGCUUAACUCGGAACGGCCAAGUGAAACUGUCAAGCUAGAGUGCAGAAGGGGCAAUCGGAAUUCUUGGUGUAGCGGUGAAAUGCGUAGAUAUCAAGAGGAACACCUGAGGUGAAGACGGGUUGCUGGGCUGACACUGACGCUGAGGCGCGAAAGCCAGGGGAGCAAACGGGAUUAGAUACCCCGGUAGUCCUGGCCCUAAACGAUGAAUACUUGGUGUCUGGAGUAAUAUGUGCUCCGGGUGCCGUCGCUAACGUUUUUAGUAUUCCGCCUGGGGAGUACGCUCGCAAGAGUGAAACUCAAAGGAAUUGAC